GUUUCUUGAUUAUUUGAAGGGACAUGGCAUCAUUUCUCAAUGGAAGUAUAGAGUUUCUUGAUUAUCUGAAGGAACAUGGCAUCAUUUCUCAAUGGUCUCCACUAGCGACUCCACAACUCAAUGGAGUUUCUAAAAGGAGAAAUCAAACCUUGAUGGGCAUAGUUCGUUCCAUGAUGAGUUAUACUGAUUUACCUAUUUCCUUUUGGGGAUAUGCACUCCUCACUGCAGUUUACUUGCUGAAUCGAGUGCCUUCCAAGUCCAUCUCGAAGACCCCAUACGAAUUGUGGUUUGGCAAAAAGCCAAGGCUUAAUCAUGUUAAGAUUUGGGUUGUCCUGCAUAUGUCCAAAGACCUGAUGCAGAUAUGUAACACUCUGUCCCAAAAAUCACUGUUCAAUUGAUUAUUUAUUGUGAAAUUUCAUUUUUGCCCUCGGGUGUACGGGCACUUUAGCCACUUUUUGUUCGGGAAGGAUUUUGGGGAAUUGAGUGGCGCUGUUGCGUAGAACUCAUGCGGCACGUCCAAUUUCGAGUUGUAACGAAGGAGCAAAGGUUUAGAAACGAAAAGGAUGUAAUGGAAAUUUUCAAAUUUGUUAUUGCUAUAGUACCAGCUACAGUAACCGGGACUGCUUUUUAUUUUUCUCUUUCUUCCCUCCUCCCUCGAUAUUUCUUCUUCCUUUCUUCUCUUACGACAGUACUUCCCGGCCACCAAUCGAUGUCGUCGUGACCGGUUGGCCGUGCCACCUUCACGAAAAGUGUUCCUCUCGUCGUCCUCUUCAAAACCCACCCAAGACCCGGUCUGAUUCGCUGAUGGUGAGCUCGAAUCGAAGCUGAGGAAGGGUUAGGUUUCUUCGGCGGUGUUCUUGCAUUUAUCGGCAAUUUCGGCUAUGGUUUUCGUCGAGUAAGGUAUGAAACUUCAUCAACUCAUCACGCUCUACCUGUUUAUGUAAUUAGUUUGGAUUGAUUUUGAGGUUUUACAGAUCGAUUCUUAAAUCCAUAUUUGGCCGACGGUUUCGGCUUCGAUUCGGCCACUUCCAGUCAGUUUUUGGUCGUGGUCCAAGAACAAAAGUUGAUCCUCUAGUUAGUUUGAAUCUAUUGGUAUAGGUAUUGUAGGGUGUUUUGAGAAAUUUAUGUCGCUGAAAAUUUCUCAAGACGCCCACACACUGCCGGUGGUGGGUGGCAACGCGUGGGUCACUGUGUGGUGGCCCAUUGAGUUCUAAAUUAUUUUCCUUGUCGUCCUGAGCACGACGGUAUCCUUGUCGUCCUAAGGAUAUUUCAUGCAUUAGACUUAUGUUAAAUUCUCAUAAAGGGAAAAUUUAUUGUUUAUUAGUAAA
rnacentral:lncRNA from 1 species